GUCCACGCCGUAAACGAUGGGUGCUAGGUGUGGGAGGUGUCGACUCCUUCCGUGCCGAAGCUAACGCAUUAAGCACCCCGCCUGGGGAGUACGGCCGCAAGGCUAAAACUCAAAGGAAUUGACGGGGGCCCGCACAAGCAGCGGAGCAUGUGGUUUAAUUCGACGCGACGCGAAGAACCUUACCAGGGCUUGACAUGCACUGGAAUGUCGUAGAAAUACGGCAGCCCUUCGGGGCUAGUGCACAGGUGGUGCAUGGCUGUCGU
rnacentral:rRNA from 1 species